rnacentral:misc_RNA from 1 species
UCAAAAUCAAGAUCAAGAUCAAUAGUUUGGCGCGCACAACACAGUAAGCGGGGACAGAGUUACGGCAUCAGCAGGGAGCUGCUACAAGGGAGGGAAAUCAAAGGACCACCUCACUAGACAGGUGGACAGACUUGGACUGGAAGAAGAGGAAAGGCUCAAAACAGGUGAUGGUUUGUGUGGACGAGAUGGACACUGCCUACCUUGACAACCUGGACGAAUAUAUUAACGACGAAGGCAGGAUUGUCACCUACAAAUGGCUGUCACUCACUCUUGGUGUUCAUUCCAAUGUGGCAAAACAAAUGUUGCACCAUUUUGUGAUGCAGCAGCGAGGUGGUGAUGGUGAUGGUGGUGGUGGUGGCGGCGGCCUGACUGUCACCUACCUGUUGACUGGUGCAGCAGAGGAAAGUGACGGUGCUGUGAGGAAGGUGGUGAAGGUAGUACAUGAGAUGGAGAUAGAGGCAGCCCGAGCAGCCAUGAACACUGUGAGCAGCCAGCAUGUGUACAGCGUGCAGAAGAGUGCUCUGCCUGACAUAGGGCUGCUGUAUGGAACUGAUUAUGAUGUGACCAAACAGCAUAUCACCUCCACAUCCAGAUACAGUGCUAUCAGCUGCUCUGAGGCACAGAUCAGCCGCAGCACAGGCAGAAUACAGCAUUUGGUAAAGGAUGAGGCACCAACACCACUACACAAGAGUGUGCAAAAAACUAAUGAAAAGAAAGAAGAGAAAAAUAUACUAAACUGGACUGUAGCACCACCACCACCACCACCACCACUGCUACCACCACUACUGGCACCACCACUGCAGCUGUUAAGGCCACCAGUCAGAUAGCAAACAUGUUUGCCAAACAGACUAAGAAGCUGGAAAGUUGUCCAAGUACUGCUGUUAAAGAGGAGAAGGCACCAGCAAAGGCCAAGGGUGCAGGAAUCUCAGCGUUUUUCACCAAGGGUCCAGUUCAAAGAAGGCCAGACACCACAAAGUUGGGCAACACCACCAGUAGUCCUAAAUCUGACAGUACUCCUUGUCCUGAUGAGUCC